rnacentral:rRNA from 1 species
ACUCCUACGGGAGGCAGCAGUGGGGAAUAUUGCACAAUGGGCGCAAGCCUGAUGCAGCCAUGCCGCGUGUAAUUGGAAGAAGGCCUUCGGGUUGUAAAGUUACUUUCAGCAAGUGAGGAAGGUGGGGGUUAAUUGUUAAAAUAGCCAUUAACCUUCCAAUUUUGGACCGUUUUAAGGCUGCAGGAAAAGGAAAGCCNCCGGGCUAACUCCGUGCCAGCAGCCGCGGUAAUACGGAGGGUGCGAGCGUUAAUCGGAAUUACUGGGCGUAAAGCGCAUGCAGGUGGUUUGUUAAGUCAGAUGUGAAAGCCCGGGGCUCAACCUCGGAAUUGCAUUUGAAACUGGCAAAACUAGAGUACUGUAGAGGGGGGGUAGAAUUUCAGGUGUAGCGGUGAAAAUGCGUAGAGAUCUGAAGGAAUACCGGUGGCGAAGGCGGCCCCCUGGACAGAUACUGACACUCAGAUGCGAAAAGCGUGGGGAGCAAACAGGAUUAGAUACCCUGGUAGCUACGAGU